GUUGAAAAUGGUAGAAGUAUCGACACUGGAAGUUAUCAAGUUAUGGUACAAGACAGGAAGGAUCCCUCACAAAGUUUCAGUGCCAUCGCUAGAGUUCAAUUUCAAGAAAAUUAUGCAGGGAUGCUGUUUUGAUGAUCCAACACACCGAUAUUUUUUGCUAAGAAGCACAAAUAUGCCAGUACAAAUAGAAUCUCAUGACACAAACUGAUGCAGAUGUUCUAGAGGGAAAUCGGAGACAGCACAGCGAUCUUUCUGAAAUGAGGACAAACAUGACGGGAGUCGUAUGUGAUCAAGAUCCCUCAACUUACAUUGGGUCGUGAAAUCAUUCCUUCAUUAUCAUGCCGUUGAAGCUGCAUCUAACGUUUCCAUCCUCCUGAGGGACUCAUACUGGCCUGAAAGCCUGGAUUCAAGUUCCACCUGCUCCAGACAUGUGUUAUAACAUGAUUAUAAAUAUAUAUGACAACUUGCCAGGGAAGGGUAGGCGAGAAGACAUGUCAGGUCCUUCUGACAUUUUUACUGAAUUUUUUUUAUUCGAUCCACAUAUAAUUUUCUUAUUUAUUUAAUUUGUCUCUCAACUUUCAUGUGACCAUUGAUUGCUAGGACCAAUUCGGUGAUGUAGUGGUCCUGAGAUCUUUCUGAGCUGUAAAUUUGUAUGGAUCCACUCAGCAACAGGGGAAUGAGGAAUGGACUCUUGCCUAGAUUUUAGGAAGAGCUGGGAUGAGGCUUGAUAAUACGAUGGCCAGUUAUGAACAUCCGAUUUGACUUCAUUAUUAGAUCUUUCAACCGCUCUACUGAUGUUAAAUUAUGAGACUACUUAUCCAACAUUAUUACUGCAUGAGUAGAAAUUUCCUCAAGUUAAAUAUUUGAGGAAAACUGAGGCCAUCAUUUUGGUGCCUGUUCUAAAUAAGCUUUAUUAGAUGCUGACACCACCCCUCUCCCUGGCAACAGCAUGUGAUUAAGCCAGUCUGUUUGGAACCAUGGAUUCAUACUUGACCCAGCGAUGAGCUUCAGAUCUUAAAUACACAGGAACCAUUAGACUAAAAUCUUUCUACUUCUGUAACAUGGCCUAACGUUUCCAUUUUUGUAAAAUUGCCCAACUUUGCCUUCAUCUUCAUUGUUGAUGUCAGCUGCUGGUCUAGCAACAUUUUCAAUUUAAAUUUUCAUUCUUAUGUUUAAAUCCCUUCACGGACUUCCUCCUCACUAUCUUUGUCAUCUCCUCCAUUCCCCACACCUUCAAGAAAUCUGCAUUUCUCUAAUUCUAGCUAUUUGAUCAUUCCCUAUUUGAAUUGCUCCAGCUUUACUGUCCUUUUCCUCAGUAACCUGGACCCGAAAACUCUGAAGCACCGUCGCUAUAACCCUCUGCCUCAGUAUCUUAACUUACCAGUUUAAGCCAUUCCUUAAAAUUCAUGUUUUUGACAAAGCUUUUGACUAUCUGACUUACUAUGUGGCUCAAUGUCAUAGACUCUUGUGCAGCACCUCAGUACAUUUUAUCCAAUUAAAGGGGCUAUAUUCAAAUAGAUUGUUACUGUUGUAAUAUAAUUGAUGUGGAAUGAAUUGAUAAAGUUUUUUCUGAAGCAAAUUGCAUUCUUUACCAAAUUUCAAA